GUCCCUGUAGCGCAAUGGAUGGCGUGUUGGACGUUUCAUCCAAAAUGGGGGUUCGAAUCCCACCUGGGAUG